UGAAAUAUACUAUAACAGUAGCUAUUUAUUACAGAUUUGUGUCCCAGACGAGUGUCUUUUGUUGCUUUGGGAAGGAAAUUAAGAAGGUGGUUCAAGUUAAGGCUUUGUAACCUAAUCUGUGUGUUUGAUGCUAGAUUUUAGUGGUUUUGAUUCACAUUGUUUGUUGUGUCUAGCUUUCAUAACCUUAAGGCGAUGUUAUCCGAAUGCAUUCUUUAAAGUCUCAGUCUUGACUUCAUAAGAGGGCUGGAGGAUGGAUUGUUUUCUGCAGGCUUUACUGAGAACACCUGAUGCGCCUUGUGUUCAGAAUGCGCCGAAAGAAACACAUGCUGACCAGAUGGCUCCAACAUGUGAGGAAUAUCAUGAACAGGUUCAGUCGAUGACCAGAGUCUCAACUGUGGCGCCCUUUAUACUAAGAGAAAACAAAGAUAAAGACAAUAAAGGUAGCAGUUCUGUUUUUGGACUACAUGUUUACACAAUUUGAUUAGAAUUAUCUGUCAUUAAAGAAAGGACCCAUUGACUUUAUCGCUCCUGACCUUGCAGUGUCCUUGUGGUGAAAGUAACUAUCAAACUUUGUUUUUAACUUGUGUUUUUCCUUGUGAUCUGAACAAUGAAUUUAAUUUCCUUUAUCUUUAGUGCACAGCCACUUCCAAUAUCAGAUAUUUGGGCAUUUAUCUGUACCAUCCUAAUCUAAUCUUAAUGCUGCGAUUGAUGAAAAACAUCAUCGGUUUCAACGGUGGUCAUUUUAUAAUUCCAAAUCUAGAUGCUAAAUUGCAGUGCUCAGUUUUCAAUUUGGAACCUCCCCCAAAUUCCUUGAAUCCUGCUGAUACAGUGUG
rnacentral:lncRNA from 1 species